rnacentral:rRNA from 1 species
GAUGAACGCUGGCGGCGUGCCUAAUACAUGCAAGUCGAGCGAACGGACGAGAAGCUUGCUCUUCUGAUGUUAGCGGCGGACGGGUGAGUAACACGUGGAUAACCUACCUAUAAGACUGGGAUAACUUCGGGAAACCGGAGCUAAUACCGGAUAAUAUUUUGAACCGCAUGGUUCAAUAGUGAAAGACGGUCUUGCUGUCACUUAUAGAUGGAUCCGCGCUGCAUUAGCUAGUUGGUAAGGUAACGGCUUACCAAGGCAACGAUGCAUAGCCGACCUGAGAGGGUGAUCGGCCACACUGGAACUGAGACACGGUCCAGACUCCUACGGGAGGCAGCAGUAGGGAAUCUUCCGCAAUGGGCGAAAGCCUGACGGAGCAACGCCGCGUGAGUGAUGAAGGUCUUCGGAUCGUAAAACUCUGUUAUUAGGGAAGAACAAAUGUGUAAGUAACUGUGCACAUCUUGACGGUACCUAAUCAGAAAGCCACGGCUAACUACGUG